UGAAGCAAAACAAGUGAAGAAACGUGUGAAGAAAGAAGAAUCCAUGCUACUGGAUUCGUUGGCAAGUGUUAACUGUCGUAAAUCAGCGGAAAAAUAUGCAGACGAAGCUGUUCCUUCGAUGAAAGCAGCAGAGGCUUAACUCACAGCCCUCGAAGCUAGAAUAUUUAAUCAUGAAAUUCAUUCAGCAAAUACUGAUGAGAAAAUAGAAAAUCUAUAAAAAAAAUCGAUAAGCAAGAACGUCAACAAGGAAUAACUUAUACUUUAAAGCAUAAUAUGAAACGUGUUAAAGAGUUGCUCGUAGAAAAUAGAAUUCUAACUGAUCAAGUAAGGUCGAAGGAUUAUAUGCCCAGAUUGGAUAUGUACAUUCGCCAGGUUAUUAAAAUAUUCAUGGCACUUAAAAAUGGAACUGAUGGUAUUUAAGGAUAACAUUCAA